CAUUUAGAGGAAGUAAAAGUCGUAACAAGGUCUCCGUUGGUGAACCAGCGGAGGGAUCAUUG
rnacentral:rRNA from 1 species